UUCCGGUUGAUCCCGCCGGAAGCUACUGCUGUCAGGGUCCGAUUAAGCCAUGCAUGUCGGGGUUUCAUACUUUGAAACCCGGCGAACAGCUCAGUAACACGUGGACAACCUGCCCUCGGGAGGGGAAUAACCUCGGGAAACUGAGGAUAAUGCCCCAUAGGUUAGGAGUUCUGGAAUGACCCUAACCGAAAGGAUACUCCUUGUGAGUAUCGCCCGAGGAUGGGUCUGCGGCGGAUUAGGUUGUUGGUAGGGUAACGGCCUACCAAGCCUACGAUCCGUACCGGCUAUGGGAGUAGGAGCCGGGAGAUGGAUACUGAGACAAAGAUCCAGGCCCUACGGGGCGCAGCAGGCGCGAAACCUCCACAAUGUGCGAAAGCAUGAUGGGGGGACCCUGAGUGUCUCCUUAACGGGAGACUUUUGCAGAGUGUAAAAAGCUCUGCGAAUAAGGGCUGGGUAAGACUGGUGCCAGCCUCCGCGGUAAAACCAGCAGCCCGAGUGGUAGUCGCGUUUAUUGGGCUUAAAGCGUCCGUAGUCGGUCUAGCAAGUUCCCUGUGAAAUCCUAUUGCUUAACAAUAGGACUUGCAGGGAAUACUGCUAGACUAGGGGCCGAGAGAGGUUGGAGGAAUUCCUGGGGUACCGGUGAAAUGGUAUAAUCCCAGGAAGACCACCGAUGGCGAAGGCAUCCAACUAGAACGGGCCCGACGAUGAGGGACGAAAGCUGGGGGAGCAAACCGGAUUAGAUACCCGGGUAGUCCCAGCCGUAAACGAUGUGGGCUAAGUAUUCCUUGGACUUAGUGUCCAAGGAGUGCUGAAGGGAAACCGUUAAGCCCACCGCCUGGGGAGUACGGUCGCAAGGCUGGAACUUAAAGGAAUUGGCGGGGGAGCACCACAAGGGGUGGAGUCUGCGGUUCAAUUGGAGUCAACGCCGGG
rnacentral:rRNA from 1 species